rnacentral:rRNA from 2 species
GAUUAGCGGCGGACGGGUGAGUAACNNGUGGGCAACCUGCCUAUAAGACUGGGAUAANNNNGGGAAACCGGAGCUAAUACCGGAUACGUUCUUUUCUCGCAUGAGAGAAGAUNGAAAGACGGUUUCGGCUGUCACUUAUAGAUGGGCCCGCGGCGCAUUAGCUAGUUGGUGAGGUAAUGGCUCACCAAGGCGACGAUGCGUAGCCGACCUGAGAGGGUGAUCGGCCACACUGGGACUGAGACACGGCCCAGACUCCUACGGGAGGCAGCAGUAGGGAAUCUUCCGCAAUGGACGAAAGUCUGACGGAGCAACGCCGCGUGAACGAAGAAGGCCUUCGGGUCGUAAAGUUCUGUUGUUAGGGAAGAACAAGUACCAGA